CAGUAGCCGCGGUAAAACGAACCGUGCGAACGUUAUUCGGAAUCACUGGGCUUAAAGCGCGUGUAGGCGGGAGGGCACGUCCGUCGCUGAAAUCCCCCGGCUCAACCGGGGAACGGGCGCGGAUACGACUCUUCUGGAGGAACGUAGGGGGACCUGGAACUUCCGGUGGAGCGGUGAAAUGCGUUGAGAUCGGAAGGAACGCCCGUGGCGAAAGCGAGGUCCUGGACGUUUACUGACGCUGAGACGCGAAAGCCAGGGGAGCGAACGGGAUUAGAUACCCCCGUAGUCCCUGUCUCUUAUA
rnacentral:rRNA from 1 species